rnacentral:rRNA from 1 species
UACGAAGGGGGCUAGCGUUGUUCGGAAUUACUGGGCGUAAAGCGCGUGUAGGCGGGUCCUUAAGUCAGGGGGGAAAUGCCGAGGCUCAACCUCGGAACUGCCUUUGAUACUGGGGAUCUUGAGUCCGGGAGAGGUGAGUGGAACUGCGAGUGUAGAGGUGAAAUUCGUAGAUAUUCGCAAGAACACCAGUGGCGAAGGCGGCUCACUGGCCCGGAACUGACGCUGAGACGCGAAAGCGUGGGGAGCAAACAGG